UUUACAGUUGUAUAACCUGCAUGUAACUCAGAGUGCAUUUAAUAUUUGUAUGAUGGGUCAUUCUAUGAUUGAAUUUAAAUCAGAAAAAUAUUCACUAAAUUUUGGUAAAAUACAUGGUAUCUUUUACAUUUCUGUCCCUUUUGUCUGUAAAUUAUUGCUUUACUUACAUUGUAAAAUGAGGUUAAAUGUGUAUCACUGAAUUGUAUGAUUUUUUCAGGAUCAGCUGAGAUGUUAUUUCACUGGAUUAUUUAAUGGAUAGGCUUAUUGGGCAUAUAGUUGGAUAUCUCUGGAUCAGCUGAGAUGUUAUUUCACUGGAUUAUUUAAUGGAUAGGCUUAUUGGGCAUAUAGUUGGAUAUCUCUGUCAUCAACAUGGAAGAUAUGUUUGUUCCUUACCAUCUGUAAUCAAUUCUCUAUGAAGUUCAGACUGUCUGCCCUUCCUUUGGAAAUACACAGUUAGUCAAUCAACAUAGAAACACACAAACUUGAAGGAUUCUCUAGUGAGGGCUUAUGGAAAUGAUCUAUGUCUACUCUCAGAAUGGUGAAAGACUAUCAGAUUAUGCAAAGACUAACAGAAUAUCCUCUCUUGGAACACUGAAACAAGAAAACCAAACUUAAGAGGAUGGAGGAUUUAAGAAGCACAUAGAUAAAUAUGAUUUCCAACGAAUUUAACCAGUAUUAUCAUAGACUGUGGUUUACAGGAUGACAAAGAAAGGACCCAUGAUUGUAUCUUUCACUGUCAGACACUGAGUAUGGAUAAACUGUUAUCAUUUAUCAGACUGAGAUCUAGUCAAAUCAAGUAUUGAAAAUAUGAUUUCUGAUAGCAUGAGCUCUUUAAAAACUAAUUCUCACGGACCUCAAAGUAUCUGAAUGUGACUUUUAUUUUUACCAAUUCAUAUUGAAGACUGUUGUUAUGUAUGAGAAUAUACAUUUAAACCUUUUAUUUUUCAUCUUAUUUUUACAACACACUAGAAAUUACACAGAUAUUCAGAUGCUGGAUUUAAUGUUAUUAUUUAACUUUCCUGGAAUUGUAAAUAUAUUUUGUUUGUGUAUGUAUCAUGUUUAAUUUUGAAUUUAAAAUUGGUCUCAAUAAGACCCCCAAUAAAGAUGCAAGUGUCCCAUAAUCUGUGGUUUAAUAAUAUCUUGAAUAUCUUUAUCAUACCAUAUUCAUCAUACUAAUUACAUAUAGAAUGGUUGUAGGAAUACACUUUGUUGUUUAGGACACUUUGUCAAGGUCAAAGCAUAAGAUUAUUGAGAUAACUACCUUUGACAAUAAUUUGUAACUUACAAACUUCACAUCAUAAGUACACAGAUGAAGAAUCAAUAAGAUAUUUCUAUAGAUUUUUUGGAUCAUUUACUCCUGGGUAAAAGUUAGUUACUUACUGAGAUUACUGAUUUGAGUCCUGUAAUGCAAUAACUUAAACAUUGUGUGAUAACUUAUAGACUUUAUAAAAAUUAGGUGCAAAUUCUUAGGAAAGGAUUGAAAUGUUAAUCAAAUGUACAAUGUUCAAGGGUGUUUAUAUGACUAUUACUAUGUAAUACCUAGGGUUUCUGUAAAAAUCCUAUAUUCACUACAUAGAUAAAGACCGGUAUAAUAUAUAUUUUAAACUAUGAUGAAGGGAAAAAAAAGUUCAAAAGCUCUCCCCUUCAUAUCUUUCAUAUUCUGUCAUACACAACAAUAGAUAAAUUGCAGUCAUUUAACAAACUGAGGUCUAAUCAAAUCCUAGAAUUGAUAUUGUGAUUUUCUGAUAGUAUGAAAUCUUCAAAAAAAAAAAAAAAUAAUUCCCAGACUUCAAAGUAUCUAAAUGUGACUUUUAUUUUUACCAAUUCAUAUUGAAGACAGUUGUUAUGUAUGAGAAGUAUACAUUUAAACCUUUUAUUUUUCAUCUUAUUUCUACAACCCCUAACAAAUUACACAGAUGUUUAAAAGCUAGCUUUGGUGUAAUUAUUACUUUCCUGGAACUGUAAAUACAUUUUGUUUGUGUAUGUGUGUGUGUGUGUGUAUUUUGAAUUUAAUAGGUCUCAAUAGGACCCCCAUAAAGAUGUAAGUGUCCCCUGAUCUGUGAUGUAAUAAUAUCUUGAAUAUUUCUAUCAACCAUUAGACUUCAUGCUUACUACACAGAACAGGUUAGAGUAAUACACUUAGUUUUAUAGGACACUUUGUCAGGGUCAAAGCAUGAGAUUAUUGAGAUAACUACCUUUGACAAUAAUUUGUAACCUGCAAAAUUCACAUCAUAAGUAAAGAAA